GAUGAAGAACGUAGCGAAAUGCGAUAAGUAGUGUGAAUUGCAGAAUUCAGUGAAUCAUCGAAUCUUUGAACGCUCAUUGCGCCGUUUGGUAAUCCUUAGGGCAUGCCUGUUCGAGCGUCAUUUGAAACCUCAAGCUCAGCUUGGUAUUGGGUGUCUGUCCCCGCCUCACCGCGGGGACUCGCCUCAAAAUCAUUGGCGGCCGGUACGUUGGCUUCGAGCGCAGCAGAAACGCGAACUCGAGGCCCGGCGGAUCGGCGACCAGAAGUCACUUCUUCACAGUUUGACCUCGGAUCAGGUAGGGAUACCCGCUGAACUUAAGCAUAUCAAUAAGCGGAGGA
rnacentral:misc_RNA from 1 species